AGCGAACGCUGGCGGCAGGCCUAACACAUGCAAGUCGAACGAACCUUUCGGGGUUAGUGGCGGACGGGUGAGUAACACGUGGGAACGUGCCUUUAGGUUCGGAAUAACUCAGGGAAACUUGUGCUAAUACCGAAUGUGCCCUUCGGGGGAAAGAUUUAUCGCCUUUAGAGCGGCCCGCGUCUGAUUAGCUAGUUGGUUGAGGUAAUGGCUCACCAAGGCGACGAUCAGUAGCUGGUCUGAGAGGAUGAUCAGCCACAUUGGGACUGAGACACGGCCCAAACUCCGACGGGAGGCAGCAGUGGGGAAUCUUGCGCAAUGGGCGAAAGCCUGACGCAGCCAUGCCGCGUGAAUGAUGAAGGUCUUAGGAUUGUAAAAUUCUUUCACCGGGGACGAUAAUGACGGUACCCGGAGAAGAAGCCCCGGCGAACUUCGU
rnacentral:rRNA from 1 species